GUAUUGGGAGUGGACGCGCGAAACAUCGAAACGUGAAAGAUUAGCACUACAGAAAUGGCUGCAAUAUUAAAUCUUAUACUUAAAGAGGAGGUUUCCGCCGAUACAUUGGUGAAGUGGCUGCAAAGUGAAGUAAUUGAUGCUUUAUCUCUGUCUAAAUUGGAUGUCUACAAGAACAUUCGACUAGAAUUCAUUCCCUACUUUUUAAACCAUGUAAGAGAAAACACUGCUCAUCUCUUUGAAAAUGGACUUUCAAGUGGCCAGUCACCCGUAAAAAAGCUGUCUGCAAAGAAACCCAAGCCCGCCUUGAGAUCUGUUAACCCAUCUGCACGCCCUAAAAGAAGUAGAUUAUUUUCCAAGGAUCAAAGUGAAAAAGAGAAGAAUGCACCCUCAGAAAUUAAGGUGAAAGAUUUUGAUGAAAGGAAACAGUGCAUUCAUGUUCAGCAUUUGGCAUGUGUAGAAAAUUCAAGUGGUGCUGAAGCAAGACAGUCUGAUUUAAAGUCUGUUCUUUGUCCUAGGGUUGCUGACAUAGUGGACCCACACCAAUGUGCCUCAGAUAUUUUAAAGACAAAGGAUUUUAAAGACAAUAUUUUAAAUGAAAAUCUUAUCCAGGGCCUUUCAGAAUCAUUACACGAUGAAGAAACUUCUAAUUCGUUUGAAAGAAGUAGAGAUCUUUCUUUGAAUUCUUUUGCUGUGUCUGACUCUCGGUCACCUGAAGUUAACAUAAUCAACACAGUCUCACCAGUCACCAGGAACAGGAAAAAGAAAAGUCAGAUUCAGGAUGGACAGGCUUCGCAACAUAUAUCUCCACAGUUUCAUUCAGCUCCUCACAGAUACAACAGAACAGGACACAAACAAAAUCUGAGCUUAGGAGAGUUUUUUAGUUCACCAGAUUCUUCCUCUUACAGAAAUGCAGAAACACAAAGGACAUUAACUUUUACUGACUCAUCACCUGAAGCUUCAUGGUCUAGUACUAGAAAAAAUGGAAGAAAUACCAGCAGCAAGAAAAAUAGAGGUCUCAUAACGGACAAACAGGCACAAAACUUUUCUCAGACACGUCUAAAUGAUUUUUCUGUCAACAGUUUGCAAGAUUUUCCACCAUUAAAUGUCAGUUCACCUGAUCCCAUAUCAGAUAUUUCAAGUGCUAACACAUUAAAUAUCAAGACCCCUAGUUCUGCAAACAGUAAAAGUCCUUUAUUUUCCAGUUCAGUAGGUUCAGUAGUUAAAAUACAGCAAGACUGUGAGCCACAAGUGACACAGACCUGGUCAUUGUUGAAUGCUGUAAAGAAACAGAAUCACCACAGUAAAAAUCUCAGAUACACAAAUCUAAAACAGCCACGACGGAUCUCACCAAUAACUAUCAGCAGUGUCAGCACUAAUUCAGCAAACCCAUUGUUCUCAGAAGCGCCUAUUGAAGAACACGAGAUAGUUGAACCUAAAUUGCAUGUGAGCACCAAAAGCGCCUCAAGGUUGCAAACUAACAAAGAGAACCAAAAUGGAUCAGAUGCGAUGGUCCCUAUUGGUAUCAUGGACCAACAACCUGGUCAUCUCAGAAGUGAUUCUUCAGAGAAGCAGAGAGCUGAUGUUCUGAGUAAGGAAGAGGAAAUCCUCGACAGUCCCAGAACUCCCAGCAAACAGGCAUCAGGCAAGUCUGUUAGCAUCAUUCAGCUCAUACAGGCAAACCCACAGAAAGUGACUUACAGAGAUUUCCUGGACCUUUUUGUGUACACCUACUCUGCUUGUCUUGAGGCCCACCUGUUUCCUAACCUGACAGCGGAAUUGUUCUUUAUAACUCAGUUGCUGACUGUUCAGGGAUGUAAGGAAAUGCAAGAUGAACAGAAUUUUGCUGAAGACGUUGAGGAUAAAAACUACUUCUUGACCAUACACAAUGCAGUGUAUUUUGCAACUGGAGUCAUGAGGCAUCACGUACAGCUUUUGAGCAAACUUGACCAAACAACACUGCGGCUGCUUUCGGACAAUCCACGUGUGGCAGAUUUUGCUCCUGAUCUGCAAGAUCAACUAAAAUCCUUUCUCGAAUCAGCUUUAGAAAAAACUAGUACAAGCAUGUCCUUCACCACAAUACCAGGCGUGGCCUUUCAAGCAGAAACUGACAAUCGAAAGAAUUUCCCAAAUGACAGGACAUUUCACUUGUUUAAAAAACAAAGGGAUCUGUUUUAUGAAGUAUUGAGAGAAUGGGAAGCACAGCAGUCGGUGCCAGGAUGGAGCUUAGAAUCACAUCUUGGGAACAAAAUCAGGGGCUUGGUAGGAGCCAAGACAGAGCUGGCCAACUAUUUACACCUGACCCGGCUAUUUCUGUCACAGCUUAUUUCUAUGUGCAAAGGAGACCAGAACCUUAAGGCACAGGAAGAUUCUGAGACAAUCUCUCUUCUGGUUGAACUGAAAGAAACAAAUCCAGAAAAAUAUAUCAAGCUCCAAGAACGAAUAAGUCAGCCGUCGGCGAGUGGAGGGCAGUGUUCUGUCACUUUCCCUGGCCAUCAGCGGUUCUUUCGAGAUUUUAUCGUUGUUGCCGCCAAUCCCGUCUUGAACCAUCACUUGUCCAGUCUACUCUCUAUACGCAUAACUGAACUGAAUAGAACGGAGUUUGGCGAGGAGGUAUUAAGUAGUCAGGCAGAUCUGGUGCCAGAUGAUAUGGAGAUGGAAUGUAAAACAUUUGCAUCAACUCUGCUAACUUUGAGGCUGCUUGCUCGAUUCCUGGGGUUUAUCACCUUCUUACCUUAUCAGAGCCCUGAUGGACUUCCUCAGCCUCUGUUGCAGGACUGUAUCACAGUCAGAAGUGUUGUACCUAUGCCUUUGGACUUGGGAUGGUAUGUUCAAGCUGCACUUAAAAGUGGUCGACUGUCCCUUGUCGUACCAUGGGUGGUUGAAUUUCUUGGUCAGAUGGACACAGGAGCAUAUCUGCUUGAGAGUUUUCAGCAUCUUUUUCAUUUGCUACAGUCUAUACUUCGGUUAGUCUGGCAACAAAUGAAAGCAAAUGGAUUCUCAUACAGUGGUCUCUUGAUUGUGACUUCUAUUGGCUGGCUUUCUGAUCUUGCUUGUUUGCCUGGACUACCAAGCAACACUGAAAUGGAUCUUUUUGUUCCAUCCGUAGAUUGUGGCUCUGUUGAUGCUAUAUGUAUGGUUACACAGGACCUUUUUUACUCCUGCUGUCCUUACUUAGGUGAAAUUCGAUACCUUUUGUCUGAAUUUUCUAUUGGAACCAGGAGCAAAACCACAAUACGAAAAAUUACUUUGUCAGCAGUAGAUGCUGUACCACCAUCUGCUGAGAGAGAAACCUCAAAAAAUUUACAAGCUAGCCUGGAGGAAAGCUUUUUCCAUCUCCAUCCAUCUUCGUUACGGCGGACUGUGGAAUUUGUUGCUGAUCGAACAGCCUCCAAUUUUAUCAAACAAAUGCGUGCUUCAUUUUUGCCAGAAUCUCUAGCCAAUUGUAGAGAAGAAGCAAGAAAUCUUGCAUUCAGCUUGAGCACUAAAUCAAAUGGGAAUCCCAAGGAAAAUGUACAACAGGAGCUUAACUGUCUUGCUCAGAGUAUUUGCCUGAGACAAAGAGAUAAAAUAAUGGAGUUACAAAAGAGUUUCUGUCAGCCACGCAUCAGCACCUCCUUACAACUACUGCUGUCUGAAGACGAGAGUAAAGUCGUCAUCUCUUGUGCAACAGCCAUCGCUUGCCGCACUGCCAGGAUGAAAAUUUUGCAUUGGCUUAAAACUUAUGUCACUGUUGCUAUGUAUUCAAGAGAAGUCAUGGAUGAGUGGGUGCACUAUAAGACUUCAUCACACAGCAGUGCCAUACAAACUAGAAAAAAAGGGGAGGAGCCUGGAGACAAGAUAUGCGCCGUGGGCAGGCUUCCUCUUGAUGUCAGCUGUCAGGGAAACAACUUAUCUCUUUGUGACCUACCCGAGAAGCCAAAAAAUAAAAACUCUGUAAAGAACAUUAAGGAUAUUGUUUAUGAAACCAUACUUCUGUCUAAAAGUGACGAAAUAAAGCCAACUGAAUCAGGUUCAGCAGACACAGAGAUGACUACAUCACAUCCUGUAAAAAUGAUGUGUGAUCUCCUGAGAGAUGGGCAGGAUUUGUUGUGCCGUCUGUUAAUUCGUGCUGAGCCUGUUAAUUCCAAGGACAUUGUAACUCACUUGCAUAGUAUUCAAGCAUCUCUCACAGUUUCAAAGGAUCUGCCACCCCAGACCGCUCAGUGCCUAGCCUCAAUGACAGCAGAUGUGGCACUGGAAUAUGCAAGCAGCCUUCACAGUGGUCACAAAGUAUCUGUACUCAGUUCAUAAGAUUGUUUGAAGGUGUUCUUUGGAACCAGACUGACUUGUCUCGUUUAUGCUCUGGCUUAGCAAAAGCUAAGCUUAUGAGGGCUGCUGAUAAAAAGAUGGCCGUGGAGCAGUUCCGAAUGCUGUUGAAUAUGUUGGUAGAACACAAACUCCUGCAACCUGAAGCCGCUUCUUGCUUUACUUCACAAUUGUCUUGAUUUUG
rnacentral:misc_RNA from 1 species